GUAGGUGGCAAGCGUUGUCCGGAAUUAUUGGGCGUAAAGCGCGCGCAGGCGGUUCUUUAAGUCUGAUGUGAAAGCCCACGGCUCAACCGUGGAGGGUCACUGGAAACUGGAGAACUUGAGUACAGAAGAGGAAAGCGGAAUUCCACGUGUAGCGGUGAAAUGCGUAGAGAUGUGGAGGAACACCAGUGGCGAAGGCGGCUUUCUGGUCUGUAACUGACGCUGAGGCGCGAAAGCGUGGGGGAGCAAACAGGAUUAGAUACCCUGGUAGUCCACGCCGUAAACGAUGAGUGCUAAGUGUUAGGGGGUUUUCCGCCCCUUAGUGCUGCAGCUAACGCAUUAAGCACUCCCGCCUGGGAGUACGGCCGCAAGGCUG
rnacentral:rRNA from 1 species